ACACCGGCAGCUCUAGUGGUAGCAAUUUUUAUUGGGCCUAAAGCGUCCGUAGCCGGUUUAAUAAGUCUCUGGUGAAAUCCUGCAGCUUAACUGUGGGAAUUGCUGGAGAUACUAUUAGACUUGAGAUCGGGAGAGGUUAGAGGUACUCCCAGGGUAGAGGUGAAAUUCUGUAAUCCUGGGAGGACCGCCUGUUGCGAAGGCGUCUAACUGGAACGAUUCUGACGGUGAGGGACGAAAGUUAGGGGCGCGAACCGGAUUAGAUACCCGGGUAGUCCUAACUGUAAACGAUGCGGACUUGGUGUUGGGGUGGCGUUGAGCUGCUCCAGUGCCGAAGGGAAGCUGUUAAGUCCGCCGCCUGGGAAGUACGGUCGCAAGACUGAAACUUAAAGGAAUUGGCGGGG
rnacentral:rRNA from 1 species